UACGUAGGGUGCAAGCGUUGUCCGGAAUUAUUGGGCGUAAAGAGCUCGUAGGCGGUUUGUCGCGUCGAAUGUGAAAACCCGGGGCUCAACCCCGGGCCUGCAUUCGAUACGGGCAGACUAGAGUUCGGUAGGGGAGUCUGGAAUUCCUGGUGUAGCGGUGAAAUGCGCAGAUAUCAGGAGGAACACCGGUGGCGAAGGCGGGACUCUGGGCCGAUACUGACGCUGGAGGAGCGAAAGCGUGGGGAGCGAACAGGA
rnacentral:rRNA from 1 species